rnacentral:rRNA from 1 species
UACGUAGGGACCAAGCGUUGUUCGGAUUUACUGGGCGUAAAGGGCGCGUAGGCGGCUUGACAAGUCACUUGUGAAAUCUCCGGGCUUAACUCGGAACGGCCAAGUGAAACUGUCACGCUAGAGUGCAGAAGGGGCAAUCGGAAUUCUUGGUGUAGCGGUGAAAUGCGUAGAUAUCAAGAGGAACACCUGAGGUGAAGACGGGUUGCUGGGCUGACACUGACGCUGAGGCGCGAAAGCCAGGGGAGCAAACGGG